GACGUAGGUGGCAAGCGUUGUUCGGAAUCACUGGGCAUAAAGAGCACGUAGGCGGCUGGGUCAGUCGGAUGUGAAAUACCUCGGCUUAACCGAGGAACUGCGUCCGAUACUGCCUGGCUUGAGGUCCGGAGGGGAGAGUGGAAUUCCCGGUGGAGCGGUGAAAUGCGUAGAGAUCGGGAAGAACGCCGGCGGCGAAAGCGACUCUCUGGUCGGAAUCUGACGCUGAGGUGCGAAAGCUAGGGGAGCAAACGGG
rnacentral:rRNA from 1 species